GAUGAAGAACGUAGUGAAAUGCGAUAAGUAAUGUGAAUUGCAGAAUUCAGUGAAUCAUCGAAUCUUUGAACGCACAUUGCGCCCCUUGGUAUUCCGAGGGGCAUGCCUGUUCGAGCGUCAUUAUAACCCCUCAAGAUCAGCUUGGUAUUGGGGCCUGCCAUCCUGGCAGCCCUUAAAAUCAGUGGCGGUGCCAUCCGGCUCUAAGCGUAGUAACUCUUCUCGCUAUGGAGUCCUGGUGGAUGCUUGCCAUUAAUCUUUUAACUUCUAUGGUUGACCUCGGAUCAGGUAGGGAUACCCGCUGAACUUAAGCAUAUCAAUAAGCGGAGGA
rnacentral:misc_RNA from 1 species